UUGAGGUGUAAAAUUUGAUUAUAUAUAAUUUACUUGAGUAUUACGAGCUGCGUGAAAGUUAUUUUAUCGCAAAAAUCUUAAAACUCAAAAGACUUGGCGGUGUCUUAGGUCCUUCUAGGGGAACCUGUCCUAUAAUCGAUAGUCCACGAUUUAUCUUUCCUUUCCUUGAAAAUUUAAUCAGCCUGUAUACCGUCGUCGUCAGAUUACCUUUAAGAGUUAAAUAAGUUAUCGGGAGGAAAAGGGCAUUUAUCGUAUUUAUUUGAAUUUGAAUAAUUAAAAGUAAGUACGCAGAGGCGAUUUUCUAGAUGUCAGAUCAAGGUGCAGCCUAUGGGGAGGUAGAGAUGGGUUACAAUAAUUAUUUAUUAUUUACGGAUUUCUUAUUGAAACUAUAAGAACUAAAGGCGGACUUAGAAGUAAUUAAAUAAGAGAAAUAGAAAGUUUCGGUGAAAAUGGCACUAAGAUGUG
rnacentral:rRNA from 1 species